GAGGAAAAGAAACCAACUGGGAUUACCUUAGUAACGGCGAGUGAAGCGGUAAAAGCUCAAAUUUGAAAUCUGGUACUUUCAGUGCCCGAGUUGUAAUUUGUAGAAUUUGUCUUUGAUUAGGUCCUUGUCUAUGUUCCUUGGAACAGGACGUCAUAGAGGGUGAGAAUCCCGUUUGGCGAGGAUACCUUUUCUCUGUAAGACUUUUUCGAAGAGUCGAGUUGUUUGGGAAUGCAGCUCAAAGUGGGUGGUAAAUUCCAUCUAAAGCUAAAUAUUGGCGAGAGACCGAUAGCGAACAAGUACAGUGAUGGAAAGAUGAAAAGAACUUUGAAAAGAGAGUGAAAAAGUACGUGAAAUUGUUGAAAGGGAAGGGCAUUUGAUCAGACAUGGUGUUUUUUGCAUGCACUCGCCUCUCGUGGGCUUGGGCCUCUCAAAAAUUUCACUGGGCCAACAUCAAUUCUGGCAGCAGGAUAAAUCAUUAAGAAUGUAGCUACUUCGGUAGUGUUAUAGCUUUUUGGAAUACUGUUAGCCGGGAUUGAGGACUGCGCUUCGGCAAGGAUGUUGGCAUAAUGGUUAAAUGCCGCCCGUCUUAAACCACCCGGAAACA
rnacentral:rRNA from 1 species